GAGGUAAUACUGUAUUAAUUGUGUAAAAUAUGUUAUUCUCCACAAGAUUCGAUUUGAAAAAGUUACGUUUCACAAAAUAAUGUUUUUACUUCAUAUAGGCAUAUUUAAUCAUCAGUACUAGAUGCCGCGUUCUUCUACGAGUCGAAACUCGGAAAUGUCAAACUUACUAACUGGUUGAACGCGGCACGUGUAUAACUACACCAUUUAGCAAAUCAGAAAUGUCAGUUUCCUAGUUCUGACUAGUUUGUGAACGCGGUAUCACAGCACAUAACGGAACUGGCUUGAUUGAGACAGCAACGAAAGUCUUGCUUCUGACGUUCUGUUUCCAGACGGACAUAUUUAGCUGUUACUCAACCGAGCAAACGUGUGUUUAUAUUUUCUAUGCUGCUUGAUUUGUUAUGAAUAGUGUACUAGUAAACCGCUACUGACGAACCUUUACAGAAUAUAGAUAAUGCUCCCCGAUAUGCAAUUGCGUUAAUUUGAGUGGGAUUUUUCAGCAAGUAACGUUAAUCCUGUCAGACAAGCUCGCUAGCUAACGUUAGCUCACUAUUGGGCUAGCAAGCUACGUUAGUUACAAUGAAGAUCAAACGACAAAAGCAAGCCAAAAAAAAAACAUUAAUUUCUACAAACACAACUUCAGUUUUAGAGAGCCCUUUCAAAUUCUGAUCGACGGGACGUUUUGCCAGGCGGCACUGAAGAAUAAGAUCCAGAUCAAAGAACAGAUGCCGAAAUACCUAAUGGGAGAGGUGCAACUUUGUACUACAAAUUGUGCUCUGAAGGAACUUGAAUCAACGAAGGACCUCUAUGGUGCCAAACUCAUCCUGCAGCGGUAUCAGGUUAGGAACUGCAAGCAUUUCAAGAACCCCGUCUCUGUGUCUGUUGUCACUGCUGGAAGGGACUAAUCCUCACCACUACUUUGUUGUCACACAGGACCAAGAGGUGACAUCAGGCCUGAAGAAGAUACCAGGUGUGCUACUUCUGUAUAUCAUCCUCAACACCAUAGUGUUGGACAAGCCCAGCCUAUGCUCUGUGAACCAUGUGCAGGCUGUGGCUCUGAGAGAGAUGGUCACCCCAGCCCAGCAGCAGAGCAUCAACAACCUGAAGGAGGUGCAGGGGAUUGGGCAGGAUGGAGAGCGCCAGGGCAAGAAGCGUAAGAGGAAAAUCUCCAACCCCAACCCGCUCAGCUGCCUGAAGAAGAAAAAACAGACACAGCUGCUUAAGACUGAGGACAAAAAGAAGAUUCGGCAAAGGUCCAUCCCUAAAACCAACCCCAAACCCCUAGUGGUAGGAAGAGAUGUAUGUUUUGAGGGCAGGAUAUAACCAAUGUUUUCCCUCCCCAAAAGUUGAACUGAAUAUAAGAAAUACAUCUUGAUUUUUUUUUAUUUUAUACAUAAUCUCUAAAAUACAUAGAUAAUCUCUAAACCAAUUUUCUCUAUUUGCCAGUUUAAAGGUAUCCCAAUUCAAUGUCUGGAGAACAUAUUUUGAAGAAGCACACAGCCAUGAUGUCAGCAUGCUUCUAAAAAUGUAUCUUUAAACAGUUCAAUCUUGUUUGUUGAACAUCAGAAGGUAUUGAUCUAAGUCAUUAUAGUAAGUCCAUAGCAAUUACACCCAAUUCACUGGCUCAAUGAACCAGCUAUGAAAAGGAUUCAUUGACAUGAACUGUUGAAACAGUAUUCAUUUUAUUAGAAAAGUAACAAGUUGCUGGGCCUCAGGACUACAGGCAUGGUGUCAUAAUACACUUCAGCAACAGUAUCUACAAGAGGUGUCAUUUUGGGUUUUAUACAAAAAGGAGAAUGCAAGUUUACCGACGCAGAGUUAAAGGGAUGAGCUGAAACAUUACAUGAUAUACAAUUUCAGAAGUUUGUGGGUAUCAAAACAAUGCAUUUGUAGCUAUGAACCAUAAGAUGAGCAAUAUCGUAUUCAAGCUAUCGAAGAAUGACUGUCACAACACCUAAGCAAAUUAAGACUUCCCAGUAGUUAUCAUUUCAUCAAAACUAUCUUUUAGAUUAUUAAUACCAAAUAAAAGUUUCUCUUUGCCAGAGAUUACUUGACAUUGAGCUGCAUCAAAGAGUU